CACAUUGUAUUAUAAACUUUAUAGAUACAUAUUUAAGUGAAAAUUAGAAAUACAUUUGCCAUGGAUUGUGCAGAUUUAAGUUUUUAAGUAUCCACUUACACUAGUUCUAAUGUGAAUUAGUCAUGUAGGUGGAACAAUGAAGAAAACUCCCAAUGCAGUACUUAUGAAGUAUCUCGAGUCUCAAGUUUCAACAACCCCUCCAACAUCAAUAAUUGCAACCAUUAUCGAUGCUUUUUUCUUUCUACAUCUUCAGAUUAACUCUGCUAUUCCGUCCAGAUUUGGUGAAGUCUCUCACUUUAUUUUCAAGAAGAUGUAUUCAUCAGAGGGGGACAUUAUUCACUUUGUUUCUGACAAAUGGCUGUUGCCAUCAAUCAAGGAGCUCAAGAGAUAUUCAAGAGCUUUAUCUUCUGUUGCAUGCCAUAUUACUGGACCAUCACAGGAACACCCAAGUAACUGGACUCAAUCCCUCAGAAAUACCUGUUUUAAAGAGACAUUGAUCAAGUUCCUUGUCAACAGUUGGGAGGAUGAUAGUUUGGCUUGUAUGUUGUAACAGAAAACACUCUUUACUAAUUCAGGAGAUACAUGCUACAGCUAGAAAGUAGUCAAUGGAAGAGACGUUAGAAGUGUAGAAGCUGGGCUGUGUAGCGAUCAUGGAAAAAGCUGAUACUAGUAUGUUUGAAGACAUACUGUCUCUAAACAAUAUUGAUAUCCGCAUAUCCGACAGCGAUUGUCUUGUAAUUGGACAAUGCUGUUGUUCCUCUUACGACCCUUCAUUGAAGAUAUGGAAAAAUAAAAGCACUAAAGCUCCUACAGAAAAACAAAACAAAGAAGUAUAAUCAGCUUUUAGCUAGCUUGGACUUGCAUCUGAAAUCAACACAUCUACUAUUGCCGCAGUUGAAAAGUUUGUGUGCGAGAUGUACCCCACAGAAGAAAAUGACAUCUGUAAAGGAAGUUCGGUUCUAGUUGUUUUUGGACAAGUACAAACCAAUGAAAGCAUAGGAACAAAUCACAUGUGUGCAGAAUUUAGAUGGUAGUUCUUUACCAACAUGUUCAAGAACACUUCUCCAAAAGAUGUGUCGCACUCAUUUAGUUGAGUAUGAAUGGAAGAAUGUAAAUGGUUUCUACUAGUUGUGGAGGUUCAUAUAUUAGAUAAAAAAGGAUGAAUUCAGUAUAAAAACUGAAAAUUCUCAUCCAUGGCAAAUGUCUUCGUAAUUUAUAUUUAAUACGUAUCUAUAAAGUUUAUUAUACAAUGUGUAAAUAAAAAUAUGGUGAGAUGGGGAUUGUUAUAAUGUGCUGAUAAAGCAUUA
rnacentral:lncRNA from 1 species